GAUGAACGCUGGCGGCGUGCCUAAUACAUGCAAGUCAAGCGAACAGACGAGGAGCUUGCUCCUCUGACGUUAGCGGCGGACGGGUGAGUAACACGUGGAUACCCUACCUUUAAGACUGGGAUAACUUCGGGAAACCGGAGCUAAUACCGGAUAAUAUCUUGAAACGCAUGGUUCAAUAGUGAAAGACGGUUUUGCUGUCACUUAUAGAUGGAUCCGCGCCGCAUUAGCUAGUUGGGAAGGUAACGGCUUACCAAGGCAACGAUGCGUAGCCGACCUGAGAGGUGGAUCGGCCACACGGGAACUGGGACACGGUCCAGACUCCUACGGAAGGCAGCAGAAGGGAAUCUUCCGCAAUGGGCGAAAGCCGGACGGAGCAACGCCGCGUGAGUGAUGAAGGUCUUCGGAUCGUAAAACUCUGUGAUUAGGGAAGAACAAAUGUGUAAGUAACUAUGCACGUCUUGACGGUACCUAAUCAGAAAGCCACGGCUAACUACGUG
rnacentral:rRNA from 1 species